rnacentral:rRNA from 1 species
AGUGAACGCUGGCGGUAGGCCUAACACAUGCAAGUCGAACGGCAGCACAGUAAGAGCUUGCUCUUACGGGUGGCGAGUGGCGGACGGGUGAGGAAUACAUCGGAAUCUACUUUUUCGUGGGGGAGAACGUAGGGAAACUUACGCUAAUACCGCAUACGACCUACGGGUGAAAGCAGUGGAUCUUCGGACCUUGCGCGUUUGAAUGAGCCGAUGUCGGAUUAGCUAGUUGGCGGGGUAAAGGCCCACCAAGGCGACGAUCCGUAGCUGGUCUGAGAGGAUGAUCAGCCACACUGGAACUGAGACACGGUCCAGACUCCUACGGGAGGCAGCAGUGGGGAAUAUUGGACAAUGGGCGCAAGCCUGAUCCAGCCAUACCGCGUGGGUGAAGAAGGCCUUCGGGUUGUAAAGCCCUUUUGUUGGGAAAGAAAAGCAGCAGGUUAAUACCCCGCUGUUCUGACGGUACCCAAAGAAUAAGCACCGGCUAACUUCGUG